rnacentral:rRNA from 1 species
AGCCGCCGCGGUAACACCGGCGGCCCGAGUGGUGAUCGUGAUUAUUGGGUCUAAAGGGUCCGUAGCCGGUUUGGUCAGUCCUCCGGGAAAUCUGAUAGCUCAACUAUUAGGCUUUCGGGGGAUACUGCCAGACUUGGAACCGGGAGAGGUAAGAGGUACUACAGGGGUAGGAGUGAAAUCUUGUAAUCCCUGUGGGACCACCUGUGGCGAAGGCGUCUUACCAGAACGGGUUCGACGGUGAGGGACGAAAGCUGGGGGCACGAACCGGAUUAGAUACCCGGGUAGUCCCAGCCGUAAACGAUGCUCGCUAGGUGUCAGGCAUGGCGCGACCGUGUCUGGUGCCGCAGGGAAGCCGUGAAGCGAGCCACCUGGGAAGUACGGCCGCAAGGCUGAAACUUAAAGGAAUUGGCGGGGGAGCACAACAACGGGUGGAGCCCUGCGGUUUAAUUGGACUCAACGCCGGACAACUCACCGGGGGCGACAGCAAUAUGUAGGCCAAGCUGAAGACUUUGCCUGAAUCGCUGAGAAGUGGUGCAUGG